ACUACGGGGGGCAGCAGUGGGGGAUAUUGGACAAUGGGGGGAACCCUGAUCCAGCGACGCCGCGUGAGUGAAGAAGUAUUUCGGUAUGUAAAGCUCUGUCAGCAGGGAAGAAAGAAAUGACGGUACCUGACCAAGAAGCCCCGGCUAACUACGUGCCAGCAGCCGCGGUAAUACGUAGGGGGCAAGCGUUAUCCGGAAUUACUGGGUGUAAAGGGAGCGUAGACGGUUAAGUAAGUCUGGAGUGAAAGGCCGGGGCCCAACCCCGGGACUGCUCUGGAAACUAUUGAACUUGAGUGCAGGAGAGGUAAGCGGAAUUCCUAGUGUAGCGGUGAAAUGCGUAGAUAUUAGGAGGAACACCAGUGGCGAAGGCGGCUUACUGGACUGUAACUGACGUUGAGGCUCGAAAGCGUGGGGAGCAAACAGGAUUAGAUACCCCGGUAGUC
rnacentral:rRNA from 1 species